rnacentral:rRNA from 1 species
ACUCCUACGGGAGGCAGCAGUGGGGAAUAUUGCACAAUGGGGGAAACCCUGAUGCAGCGACGCCGCGUGAGCGAAGAAGUAUUUCGGUAUGUAAAGCUCUAUCAGCAGGGAAGAAACUGACGGUACCUGACUAAGAAGCACCGGCUAAAUACGUGCCAGCAGCCGCGGUAAUAC